rnacentral:lncRNA from 1 species
AGGCGUUAAGGAAAGGGAAGGCAUUGGAGAAGUAGCUUGCCUGACGUCAGUUCUUCGGUGGAGGUAAGUUAUGGUUUAUUCUAUUUGAUAGAUAAACUCUUAAUAGUGAUUGAUAUGCAUUGAGUGAUAUUGUGAAUUUCUCUAUGUACUCGGUUGUGUGGUUUGAAUAAUCUAUAGAUGUGUGGUUGUGAUUGGUCUGAAAUCCUGAGACUGUGAAAUUUAUAAUCUUGAACCUUCUCUAUCGAAGUGAUGCCUUGAAUAAAGAAGGUUUGAUGAAAUAUUGUUAAUGCAGUGAAAAGUGGUGAUAAUAAAUGAUAAAUUAAUAGUAUUAUUGGAUCGGGGUGUCACGUCCGACACGGUAUUAUUGGAUCGAGAUGUCACGUUCCGACACGAUAACAUUAAAGAGGAAAACAUAUUGAAUUUACUGAAUGUACUCAAUCUCAAAGAGCCCAUUUCCCAAACGAGCGUGGUGUGGAGGCAUGAGUACUCGUGUGUGCGCUUGAUAUUGUUAUUGAUUACGUAAUUGCUUCGGUGUUGUUGUCACUUGUUCAUGUUGUUUGUUACUUGUCACCUGCUAAGUGUCAUAGUUGAUUUUAUGCUAUUUUCAUUACAUAUUAGUUUCUAUUUUGAGUUGGCCGAUGAUAUCUACUCAGUACAUGUUGCCCUAUACUGAGCCCUACUUGUGUUUUCCUUUUGUAGAGUGCAACGAGUGUACUAGCGACUUUGACUCGCCCUUAGCUCUAGCCAAUCUCAGCAUAUCAAGUUCAAAAGUGAGCUAUUCAUUCGAGCUUGUGUUGGAUUCUCUCGAUCAUGACCUGAUGUCCUUAGUUUUCGGACACAAAUUACUUUAUUCUUUUAUUUUGGUGUAUUUGAUACUCUUAGACUUAGUAUUUGGAGAUUAGAUGUCCUUGAUGUGAGGAUUUUCAGAUUUUGGGAAUGACAUAUAGUAGAUUUUAGUGGAUUUGUGUUUCUUACCUUAAUAAGUUUGAGCUUCCGCAUUAUGGUUUGUAUUUCGUAAGUUUAACAAUUAAUACAUGUUGGGGUUUGGAUUCCUUGGUUCGCCCACCUAGGAGGUGAAGUAUGGGUGCCACUAAUGACUCGUUUUGGGUCGUGACACUAUGCCAUUUCAAUUAACAAAUAAUGGCAUUGAUAAACCUUUUCUCAAACGGAAAUAAUUUAUGUCAUUCGUUAAAACUUAUUUUAAAAAUAUAUUUAUUUCUUUUAAUUAUUACUUUUAUCAUAUCGAGAAAAGAUAAUUAUUUUUUCAUUUUGUACUCAACAUUAAUUGAGUUGAGAAAGAAAGGUAUAAAAUGCGAUUUAUGUGUAAGUUUCAGUCUCUUCUCAUUUAUUGUUGAAAUUAAGUUAUUACCCCUUCCGUUUAAUUUUAUUUGUCCAAUAUUUUUAAAAUAUAUUUAUUACUUUUAUCAUAUUGAGAAAGAUAAUUAUUUUUUUCAUUUUAUAUUCAACAUUAAUUGAGUUGAGAAAGAAAGACAUAAAACGCAUUCAACGAAUGUGAUUUAUGUGUAAGUUUCAAUAUCUUCUCAUUUAUUGUUGAAAUUGCGUUAUUACCCCUUCCAUUUGAUUUUAUUUGUCCAAUAUUUUAAAAAUAUAUUUAUUUCUUUUAUUUAUUACUUUUAUCAUAUCAAUAAAAUAUAAUUAAUUUUUUAUUUUAUACUCAACAUUAAUUGAGCUGAGAAAGAAAGGCAUAAAAUGCAUUCAACGAAUGCGAUUUAUGUGUAAGUUUCAGUAUCUUUCCAUUUAUUGUUGAAAUUACGUUAUUACCCCUUCCGUGUAAUUUUAUUUGUCUACUGUUUUUUAAAUAUAUUUAUUUCUUUUAUUUACCACUUUUAUCAUAUCGAGAAAAGAUAAUUAUUUUUUUCAUUUUAUACUCAACAUUAAUUGAGCUAAGAAAGAAAAGCAUAAAAUGCAUUCAACGAAUGAGAUUUAUGUGUAAGUUUCAGUCUCUUCUCAUUUAUUGUUGAAAUUACGUUAUUACCCCACCCCAUUAAUUUUAUUUGUCCAAUAUUUAAAAUUUUAUUUAUUUAUUUGAUUUAUUACUUGUAUCAUAUAGAGAAAAAAUAAUUAUUUUUUUCAUUUUAUACAAAAAUUACGUUAUUACCCCUUUCAUUUGAUUUUUUUGUCCAAUAUUUUUAAAAUAUAUUUAUUACUUUUAUCAUAUCAAUAAAAGAUAAUUAAUUUUUUAUUUUAUGCUAAACAUUAAUUGAGUUGAGAAAGAAAGGCAUAAAAUGCAUUCAACGAAUGCAAUUUAUGUGUAAGUUUCAGUCUCUUUCCAUUUAUUGUUGAAACUACGUUAUUACCCCUUCCGUUUAAUUUUAUUUGUCAAAUAUUUUUAAAAUAUAUUUAUUUCUUUAAUCUAUUAUUUUUAUCAUAUCAAGAAAAGAUAAUUAUUUUUUUCAUUUUAUAUUCAACAUUAAUUGAAUUGAGAAAGAAAGACAUAAAACGCAUUCAACGAAUGCAUAUUAUGUGUAAGUUUCAGUCUCUUCCCAUUUAUUGUUUUAAUUACGUUAUUACCCCUUUCGUUUAAUUUUAUAUGUCCAAAAUUUUCAAAAUAUGUUUAUUUUCUUUUAUUUAUUACUUUUAUCAUAUUGAGAAAAGAUAAUUAAUUUUUCAUUUUAUACUCAACAUUAAUUGAGCUGAGAAAGAUAGGCAUAAAACACAUUGUAAUGACCUGUAAAAUUGUUUUUGGAAAUUUUUGAGCUAUUUGUUAAUUAUGAUUGUUUAGGUGAAUGAUUUUUAAAUAAUUAAUUUUAAUUGGUGACUAAUGGGCUAAGACCAUAACUUAUUUAAUACCAUAUAUGACCCAUAUUUUAGAAUAAGUUAAUUGAGGUUUAACAAUUUCUGAUAUAAUUUGGUAAACCCAGAAGAAAAAAAAAAACCCUUGCGGCGUCUAUUUCAGGUAAGAAUUUUCGUGAUUAUUACUUUUAGAAAGAGUCGAUGUUGUUCACUAUUUAGGUUUAAUCAUUAAAGCACUCUGUUUAUGUGUCUUUUGGUUAAUAAUUCUCAUUCCUUAGUUUAUUUUUUUGUUUGUUUGUUAGUUGUUAGUCCAUAUUUUUGUUAAGGAAAAGAAAUUGAGGUGCUGCUACUUGAAUUUUGUAGGAAAUUAUAUUAUAUUGGCAGAACAUUGUGAGUAAUGAUUAGGUAAUGAUUAUAGGCUAAUCAUAGAGGGUUGAGAUAACAUAGAAUGAAUCAUUGGUUUGGAAGUAAGGUUCCACAAUCUACACGUCAUCUACUAAGUUGUCGAUGGAACGAGUUGGUCUUUUGCUUCUUUUCUUUUCAUAGUUAUUACAUUAUAAUUCAAGUUUUGCUAUAUUGAGAUAAAUAAUUAAAUAUAAUGGUAUAAAAUUAUAUGAAUACCACUAGGUUGAUGAUAUAUGGAGAAAUUAAAACUUAACCCUAGACUUGAAAUUUGGAGAAAAUUGAAAGAGUUGACAUGUUAUUGGCAUCAAGAUUAAAAAUUUGAUUAUAGAUUUGAGUGAAUUUUUGGGUCUAGGCUAGACAAAAAGUAAUGUGGGUGUUUUUAGUUUCAAAACCUUAUUGUGAUUAUUAAUGUGAAUAGAUUGCUUUGAGUUGGAAGUUCAACGAAAGGGGAAGGCUCAAGUCCCGGAGUAAAUUCUUAUUUGAUUCAGGCAAGUGGAUUUCUAAACUCUUGUUAAGUGUAUGGAAUUCGUGUAUUUCCUUGUAAUAUGUGUUUGGGGGUAACGAGACUUGGUGAUGGGUUGACUUGUCCACAUUGAUUAAUUCUAAUGAUGAAAAAGGGGUAAUAAAAGACAAUGUGAUUAAUUGUUUGUGUGUGAUGUGUUGAGAAUAGUUUGAAAGGCUUGUUGAAUCAUUGUUGAUGUUGUAUCAUGAUUGUGUUGUUGUGAAUUGUGCAAUGUUAUGAAAAUGGUCAUCUCUUCAUUAUUUGUGUGAACAUGUCAUUUGCAUUGUGCUGACACAUGGUUGUGACAAGUGUUAUGUGAACUGUUAGGUUGGGCUGGUUUUAUACAUGUUGUAGUUGUGGAGGUUGUAAUUGAUGAAUAUUGAGCUUGUUGUUGAGAAUAUGUGAUUGUUAGAAUGUUGUUGUUGAGAUAUGUGCUUGUGAAUUGUGAACUGUUAGGUUGGGCUGGUUUUAUACAUGUUGUAGUUGUGGAGGUUGUAAUUGAUGAAUAUUGAGCUUUGUUGUUUGGAAAAAUAUGUGAUUGUUAGAAUGUUGUUGUUGAGAUAUGUGCUUGUGAAUUGUAAAUUGUUAGGUUGAGCUGGUUUUAUGCAGUUUGUAGUUGUGGAGGUUUGGUUGGGGUGUAAGGAGUACCCGUAUUCUAUCCCCUUAGCUUGUGUUUAGAGAUUUACUUGCUGAGUACCGUGUGAUUUGGCUCUCACCCCUUGCUACUACAUUUUUUUUUGUAGGUUACUAGCCCGAACCUUUGUGAUAUAUUCUCUUCUUUUCCGAGGCUUCUUGGAGAUUUGUGAGGUAGUUGUUCGUCAUCUCAACAGACAUUCUUACUCCUAUUUAUGAUCUUGUUCUAUUCUAGAAACAAGGUCAUUUGAGACUUGUGUUUUCUUUUGAAUCAAUUGUAAUACUUUAGAGGCUUGUACACGUGACAACCAGAUUUUGGGGGUAUUUUUGAGUUGAUUAUGAAAUUUCCGCAUUUUAUUGUAAUGGUUGAGUUUUAGGUUGACUUGUCUUGGUGGGAUAAGACGAGUGCCAUCACGUCUAUUUUUGGGUCGUGACACACAUUCAACAAAUACGAUUUAUGUGUAAGUUUAAGUUUCGUCUCAUUUAUUGUUGAAAUAACGUUACUACCCUUAUGUUUAUUUAUUUGUCCAAUAUCAUUCGUUUUAUAUCUUUCUUUCUCAGCUCAAUUAAUAUUGAGAAUAAAAUGAAAAUAUAAUUAUCUGUUUCUCGAUAUGAUAAAAGUAAUAGAUAAAAGAAAUAAAUAUAUUUAAAAAAUACUAGACAAAAAAAUCAAACGGAAGGGGUAAUAACGUAAUUUCAACAAUAAAUGGGAAAGAGAUUGAAACUUACACAUAAACGCAUUCGUUAAAUGCGUUUUAUGCCUUUCUUUCUCAGCUCAAUUAAUGUUGAGUAUAAGAUGAAAAAAUAAUUAUUUUUUCUCGAUAUGAUAAAAGUAAUAGAUAAAAGAAAUAAAUAUAUUUUAAAAAUAUUGGAUAAAUAAAAUUAAACGGAAGGGUAAUAAUGUAAUUUCAACAAUAAAUGAGAAGAGACUGAAACUUACACAUAAAUUGCAUUCGUUGAAUUCGUUUUAUGGCUUUCUCUCUUAGCUAAAUUAAUGUUGAGUAUAAAAUAAAAAAAUAAUUAUCUUUUCUCGAUACGAUAAAAGUAAUAGAUAAAAGAAAUAAAUAUAUUAUAAAAAUAUUGGACAAAUAAAAUUAAAUGGAAGGGGUAAUAACGUAAUUUCAAUAAUAAAUGGGAAGAGAUUGAAACAUACAAAUAAAUUGCAUUCGUUGAAUGCGUUUUAUGCCUUUCUUUCUCAGCUCAAUGUUGAGUAUAAAAUAAAAAAAUUAUUAUCUUUUCUCGGUAUGAUAAAAUUAAUAGAUAAAAUAAAUAAAUAUAUUUUAAAAAUGUUGGACAUAUAAAAUUAAACGGAAGGGUAAUAACGUAAUUUCAUCAAAAAUGGGAAAGAGAUUGAAACUUACACAUAAAUCGCAUUCGUUGAAUGCGUUUUAUGCUUUUUUUUCCAGCUCAAUUAUUGUUGAGUGUAAAAUAAAAAUUAAUUAUCUUUUCUCGAUAUGAUAAAAGUAAUAGGUAAAAGAAAUAAUUAUAUUUUAAAAAUAUUGGACAAAUAAAAUUAAAUGAAAGGAGUAGUAACGUAAUUUCAACAAUAAAUGGGAAGUGACUGAAACUUACACAUAAAUCGCAUUCGUUGAAUGAGUUUUAUGCAUUUCUUUCUCAGCUCAAUUAAUGUUGAGUAUAAAAUGAAAAAAUUAAUUAUCUUUUCUCGAUAUGAUAAAAGUAAUAAACAAAAGAAAUAAAUAUAUUUUAAAAAUAUUGGACAAAUAAAAUUAAACGGAAGGAGUAAUAACGUAAUUUCAACAAUAAAUGGGAAGAGACUGAAACUUACACAUAAUUCAUUGAAUGCGUUUUAUGUCUUUCUUUAUCAGCUCAAUUAAUGUUGAGUAGAAAAAAUAAUUAUCUGUUCUCCAUAUGAUAAAAGUAAUAGAUAAAAGAAAUAAGUACAUUUUAAAAAUAUUGGACAAAUAAAACUAAACGGAAGGGUAAUAAAAUAAUUUCAUAAAAAAUGAGAAGAGACUUAAACUUACACAUAAAUCGCAUUCGUUGAAUGCGUUUUAUGCCUUUCUUUCUCAGCUCAAUUAAUGUUGAGUAGAAAAUGAAAAAUUAAUUAUCUUUUCUCAAUAUGAUAGAAGUAAUAACCAAAAGAAAUAAAUAUAUUUUAAAAAUGAGUUUUAACGAAAUUACAUAAAAGGAAUAUAUUUUUCAAAGUUCGACGGCAUAUUUGAACAUUUUUCCUUACAAAUAAGUUGAGUUAAAGAGAAUGUAACACCCGAAUUUAUGAUGUAUAGUAGAGGACCCUUCGGUACACUAUAAAGUGGAGGGUAUCACCAAUUAUGAUUAUAAUAAAAUGAUAAGUAUUCAUUGAUUAUUAAUUAGAGGUCAAGUUUGAAACUUUGAACCAGGUGUGAAGUCUUCUUUAUUAGGGAACAUUUCAAUGUAGGACUCUCGAGUUCCGAAGGUCCAAAGGCGAAUUCAAGAUUUAAAAAUUAUCGUUCCUACUACAACUUCAAGAUAUAUAUAGAUAUGUAUGAUUUGAGCAAAGAUAUUAGAUUCAGGUGAAUUCAUACCCGAGCUUCUAUAUCCGUUCCUGUCCUAUUAGGAGGGGGACGCCUUCCUACGUACUAACAUUUAGAAGAGGAACUAAAAUAGUGAAAAUGUCGUAUAAUUAUGCUUCUUAAUUAAGCAAGAAAAUACUAUUAUUUUUAAACACGUCAAGUUUUUGCACUAAACAAAGUUACAAAGAGUUUAUUUUAUUUUAUUGUUGGUACAUGGGAACGGCCGGAAAUAUGAAAGUUUUAUAAUAAUACUAAGAAAAAGAGCAUUUAAACGUGAUGAAGCUGAUCUUACUACAUGCUAAUUGAGUUUUAAAACUAAUAAUCAUGAUAUUUAAUUAUUACUAAGAAAAGUCAAAAUUGUAUUUGACAUUAAAGAGUAAGGCCAUUGAUAAUUUCGUAUCAAUAACUAGUCGCAUUACUAUUAUUUUCUUUCAAGACUAUUCUAGAAAAUGAUUCAUGAGCCGUGCACCUUCAGAAACAACUUAUCGGACUUAUCGUUGAAAUUGUAGCAUUUUGGAUCAAGUCUCAUUUUUUUCAUACUCAGUGAAAAUCACAAUUUUUUUGUUUAUUUCCUUUAUGAACUUGGUUCUAUGAUGUAUAUGAAAGGACCAUUUUUUUUUUUGCUUCCGAUAACCAUGGUGUUUGAGCUAGUUUGUGUGCAGCUUGAUGAGUAGUAGAAAACACUAAGGAGGCAUACUUGUAGUUGUUGAAGUAGAGAACAGUAAGAGACUUAACUUCUACUGUUAGAAAUUUUUGACCAUUUGCGUAGUAGGGUACAGUAAGAUACUUUCCUUUUUACUGUUUUUCGUUUCGUGAAGUAUAUUGUUAAUGUCUCAUCUUAUCUAUUAUUUGGUUCAUACUCAGAUAGGAGAAAGAUCAAGGAAGAUGUUACCAUUUGACGAAUCACGAGAGAGGUGAAAUAGCGUUUGGUGUUGCAAACAUUAUUGUCACUUUCAAGGACAUCUUCAUUGUUGCCUUUUGCUCUUUGCCAACUACUGAUUCUGAUUUGCUGGUAAAGUUUUUAUAUGAGAUGUUUUAAUUACCCUUGUGAUAUGUUAGUUUUAUACUGUUACUCCAUAUUAAGGGCAAGAUAUAAUUCUGUAAGUAGUCUAAAUAUAACAUAUUAUCUACAUAAAGAAACCAAAAUCACAUUUUAAUUAAUUGAAGCUUACAUGUAUUUAUUCAUAUACAACAAUAAUAAUAGAUCCACUGUACUCCCACAAGUGGGGUUCGAAGAGGGUAGUAUGUACACAGACUUUACCCCUACCUUGCAAAGGUAUAGAGAUUGUUUCCAGUAGAUCCUCAGUUGUCUAUAAUAUUUAACAUUAGGUCAAAGUCCUAAUACAUUGGGCCCUUUGUCUCACUUUAACCAAGGUAAACUACAAGAACCACGUUCUUGGACUUUUGACCUCACUUGCGUUAUGGGAAGAACUUCAAGUUUUAAGAGAUUUUGAACUUUGACCUUGAAGGUUUUCCCACGGGGCAAGCUGCAUCAAAAGUUCAAGACUAUUCAUUUUCAAGGUGUGUAUUUUCUUUCCAGAAUUGUCAUCAGACCCAACAGUUCCAACUUUCUUCACCCAAGCUUAACCUGUUUUGUUGGUCGACUACCACGUCGCAAAAUAGAUCUCGCCAAUCGUCUGUAUUCCGUCGACUAUGGUCAUAUGCUUCCUGCAAAAUCUGGCGUGAUUUACAUGGAAAGGUGUGCCGAUGAUGUUGUGAAAUAAAGAUGUCCCAUCACCAGCUUCUGAAAGACGAAGGCCGCUGAAUAUGACUUUCUGAAUGUGCUGAUCAUCAGUGCCAUUAUUAAGAUUAUAUGACAUAACAUGUCCUACUUCAGCAAUGGAUGAUUGUCUCCACAAGGGUAUCAACCUCCUUUCCUCAAAAUUACUCCGAGGAUCUCGAAACUCGAGUUUUGGCAAUGUUCUUCCUGCUGUUGCAUAGAGUGGAUGGACGCCACACUUUGCCACUUUUAACCCUGUGAAUCCUUGCUCUCUGAUACUGAACGAAAAUAUGAUUUGUUCUCCACCUUCUAAAGCAGGACAAAAGUAAUCUCGUGGUAUGAAGGUCACCCAAGAACGUUUGUCAGCGGUUACAGUAAUACUGGGGAAGUAAAGGACCCAUGUAACCUUAUUGGUCUGAUCACCGACCUCUAUGACAGGACCAUAUUGAAAAACUCCAUUGUAUUUGCACUGGUAGAUAGACCAAAGGAUCAUUCCCUGGAAGUUAUGUUCUAUGUUUGGUGGCAUUGUUAAGGUUAUAUUAGAUCCUAUGUUUCGGUUGCUGAACCAUUCUGGAACCUCGCUACCUGCAAUAUAGUAGCUGCUUGGAUAAGGAAGAUCUUUAUCACAUUCUCCCGUCUGCAUAAAAUAAAAAUAAAUGGUGUGAGUUGCACUUAAUUGUAAUAGUACAAAGAUGAGAUGAAUAGAGGAACUAACUAACCAGCUGGAAGAAACUUUCAUUAAAGAAACGUCUUGCCAGCUGGCUACUGCUCUCUAUGCGAACAUAUUCAACAUUUUCGAUAGUUUCCAUGCCCUUAAUCUCGGACAAUAUGUCACAAUUAGAUACAUAGAGCUGUGGCAGUAUCCUGUAAUUGGACAUGUCUAGACUUUCAAUGGAUGAACAAUCAUUUGCAUGGAGCACUUGCAGAUUAGAAGGAAGUAGUGGGAGAAUUUGAAGAUUCUUGCAAUUAUCCAGGACAAGACACUGUAGCUCAGAUAGGUCGCAAAAGAGGGAUGAUGGGAGAGUGUAAAAAUCAUUUCCUCCUAAAUCCAAGUAUUCCAAUGAGGUUAAACUCCCAAGAUUGGUGAGAACAUCUGCUUCUGAAAGCCUACAAUCGUUGAGAUUGAGCUCCGUCAAGUGACUUAAACGGGAAAGGGAAUGUGGCAACAACCUCUCUGGACACGAUGAACUACUUCCUGCCCAUGGUACAUAAGAUAAAAUAGAAGUCAGCCAAGAUUGAGCCUUUAAACUUCUGUUGCAUCCUUGUAAUGAUAAGCUUCUUAGGUUUUUCAAGUGUCCCAAAUCAGCAGGCAGUUGUUGUAGACCCGAGCAACCUGACAUAUUUAGAUGUUGAAGUGAUUCUAGCUUGCAAAUGUUGCUUGGUAGAUUCUUGAGGCUUACACAGUCUUCCAGAUUUAAGUAAACAAGUUUCACCAAAUAUUUUAUUGAUGAAUCAAUCUCACCCAACUCGGAGCAACCUGUAAACAAUAUUGUCUCAAGACUUAUUGCCCUUGAAAAAUCAGGAGUUCGCUUUAGUCGUUGACAAUGACUGAGAUUUAGAUAUGCCAGGUUUUCCAGGGGCUGAUUCAUAGAAAUAAUAAUAUAUUCAUUAGUAUCUAUAGUUCGCUUAAUCUAAAAUCUUAUUAUAUCUAAACCUUGAAAAAAUUAGAAUAAGGUUUUUUUAGCAAUAAACCUUGAUGGUGGAUUGCCAAACUUCCAUGAUGUUGCUAUAUUGCAUUUCCAGAGCCACAAGUUUGGUUAGAUGAAUAUCAGUAGGUAAACAUUUCCAAGGGAAAUUUUGCCAACUUAGCCAUCUUAAGUCCUCAAACAAAUUUUUGAAGCUUCCAGUAAAAUUCAUUCCUUUUGCUUGAAAUAUUUUCAACCUAUCCAUUCUUGCAAAGGACUUUGUGUCAACAGUUAAAUCUUUCACUCUGGGAUGGUUGGCGCUGAUGCCUUCUAUCCGUUCGCUACCCUGUCAUCAUAACAGUGCAGGAUAUAUUGUUAGUCUUCUAUUUAUUCGGUUAUAAUUGCUUAUUUUGCUUUUCAAAGAACUCAAAACAUCAUGUAAUUACACUCUUUCGGUGUUUGGAAACGAUUUAACUUUAAACUUCUCGUUUUACCCUUAUUGGAAUAAUUUCAUAGUCACAUAAAUGUUAUGAAAUGUUUAAGUCCAUAAGUCUCAAGUCAUUUUUUUUACCUUGUUCUUUUCUAGAACAUAAUGGACAUCUUCAUGAAACCACAACCUAGAGCGCAUAUGAGGCUCUUUAAGUGACUCUUGAUGAACAAUUUCUCUAGCCAUAUCUCGAACUAAAUCAUGCAUCCACAAAUGAUUCUGUUCAAUUUUGAUUAAACAUCUUCCAAUCAAAAUUCCUUUCCCCAAGUUGAAAGAGCGACCACAACCGGUCAAUACGACUAGCAAAAAGUUAUUGGGCUUCAAUGAAAAAGCAUGCAAUGUCAAGGAAAAUCUCCUUAGAGUUAUCAUCAAGUGAGUCAUAGCUUACUUUGAGUGCUUUGUGAAUACUACUGUGAUGAGCAAGAUUUUUCAAGCUCUCGAGGGUACUUCUCCAUGUUUGAUCGUCCUUUUUAUGCAAAAGAGAGCCCAAAACUUCGAGUGCUAAAGGAACCCCUCCACCUAGACUUGCUAUGUCAUUCACCAACUCAUGAUCCAAAUUCUCGGGUACAGUAGACUUGAAAGCAUGAAAGCAAAAGAGUCGCUUGGAAGAGAAAUCAUCCAACCGUGUUACCUCGUACUUAUAGUCUACUCCAACAUCAUCUAGCAAAUUCUCAUUUCUUGUUGUUAUAAUUUUUAUGCUCCACGAACCAAACCAACUUCUCUCUUCCGCCAAUGCUUUUAUCUGGCUCAUGUCAUCGACAUCAUCCAGAACAAUGAGGACCUUCCUCUGAGCAAGUCUGUCUUGGAUUAGGCAUUUUCCCUUAUCAACAUUAUAUUGGACUUUAAAGUUCUCUCUUUUUAGAACCUUAGAUAGAAGUUGUUCCUGUAGGUUGUGAAGCAUGUUAUUUUCCGAGCGCUCUCUUACAUGAGCCACAAAGGAGAAACCUUCAUACGCCCUGUAGAUUUGAUUGUAGACGGCUUUGGCAACAGCUGUUUUACCAAUGCCACCCAUCCCAUAGAUCCCAAACAUGCAGACACCAGUUGAUGAGUAGAACUUGCAUAGAGAAAUCACUCCUUCAGCAUGAGAAUUAGGCCCAAUUACAUGAGAAUUAGGCCCAAUUACCAGUCCUGGAAGGUGUAUGCAUGUGGGGUUUACUAACUCUAACACCUGUUCCACAAGUUUCUUGUUGAAUUCUGCUUCAUGCCCGAAAACUCAAACUCAAGACAAAUUACUCUAAUAUCUAACCAAGAUGACACGAAGGUAUUUACCUUAUAUAGACUAGAUUGUCUGUCUUAUUUUCUAGGUCAAUUAUCUAUAUUAUAAAAAUAAAAAAGUAAGCAUGUCAAAAUGCUAAUUGUUUAACAACUUUUAUACCCUUCAUAAACUAAUUUUUUUUUUCCAUAAAAGAAGCAAAAUAAGUGUUGGAUAAAUUGUACCCUCUGUCUCAUUUUAUCUUACUUACUUUCUUUUUAGCUAGUCUAAAAAAAAGGACACACUUCUAUAUUAAGUAACAAUUUAACUUCAAAAUGUUCACACAAAUAUCUUAACUUAUUUUAGACCACAAGUUUCAAAAAUCUUCUUUUCUUCCUUAAAUUUUGUGUCAAAUCAAGCUAACUCAUAUAAAAUGAGACGGAUGGAGUAAUAUUUAAAAUAUCACUCAAUAUUAACUACAACUUUAAUUCAACAAAGCUAGAUAAAUUUGGUGAAAUAUAAUUAGUUGUAGACUUAAUUUGACGUUCUAAUCACCAACUUACAACUCCCCUUGUCUCAUUUUAUAUGACUUAUUUUCCUUUUCAGUCGAUCAAUUCCAUAAAGAAUGACAUAUUUCUAUACUAAGUAACAAUCUAACUUUAAAAUGCUCAUUUUAUCCUCAAAGAAAUGAUUUAUAGUCACACAAAUAUAUAUACCUAUUACUUAUUUUAGACCACAAGUUUCAUAAACUCCAUGUCAGAUCAAACUAACAUUUAGUUCUUUUUCCUCUUAAAAAAUAAAAAAGAAGACUUACUUGAAAUUAAGUAGAUGAUAGCCUGAUGGAGCCCUCCAUCUCUGAACUUUGUCCAUAUCAUCUUUGUAUUGUAAAAAUGAAUCAGCAAAAGGGGGAUUUUGAUGGCGCACAUCUGAUGGAGUCACAUCAUAGAAAACUGGAAUCACUAUCAGCUCCAAUUCAUUUUUACACUUUAUGAUGUGUGCAAGCUCCUCUAAGCAGGGGCGAAUUUAUGUACUAAUUUUGGGUCACCCGAACCCGUGAUCAUCCGACUAAACUCGAUAUAUUACUUCUAUAAUUAUUAAAGAAUAUAUUAAAUUAAAACUUGUUGAAUCCGUUCUCAAAAUGGCUGGAUGGUUCACUGGUACUACUGCAAGAUUUCAACUCACAGGUCGCAGGUUCGAUCCUAGGCAGCCCCAAUUCGCUUCAAUUUAUUUUUAUUAACUAAAAACACAUUUUUCAUUUUUUUUUUAAAAAAGAAGCUAAAUUCUGAAAGUUUAAAAGUCAAAAGACUUCAAAAGUUUCCUUCCCACACACUUUUCAAGUUCCAAGUUCCAACAAUAUUUUUCUUCUCUCUUCAAAUUUGUUUUCUAUUUUCCACACAAAGAAGAAGCUUCAAGUCUCCAACUUCAAGUCAAGAAUUUAGAGAAAUCAUCAUUGUCAAAGUUUAAGGUAAUUUUAGUUUAUGAUUUCUCUUUUUAAUAAACAAACUAACAAGAUAAAUAAAUANNNNNNNNNNNNNNNNNNNNNNNNNNNNNNNNNNNNNNNNNNNNNNNNNNNNNNNNNNNNNNNNNNNNNNNNNNNNNNNNNNNNNNNNNNNNNNNNNNNNNNNNNNNNNNNNNNNNNNNNNNNNNNNNNNNNNNNNNNNNNNNNNNNNNNNNNNNNNNNNNNNNNNNNNNNNNNNNNNNNNNNNNNNNNNNNNNNNNNNNNNNNNNNNNNNNNNNNNNNNNNNNNNNNNNNNNNNNNNNNNNNNNNNNNNNNNNNNNNNNNNNNNNNNNNNNNNNNNNNNNNNNNNNNNNNNNNNNNNNNNNNNNNNNNNNNNNNNNNNNNNNNNNNNNNNNNNNNNNNNNNNNNNNNNNNNNNNNNNNNNNNNNNNNNNNNNNNNNNNNNNNNNNNNNNNNNNNNNNNNNNNNNNNNNNNNNNNNNNNNNNNNNNNNNNNNNNNNNNNNNNNNNNNNNNNNNNNNNNNNNNNNNNNNNNNNNNNNNNNNNNNNNNNNNNNNNNNNNNNNNNNNNNNNNNNNNNNNNNNNNNNNNNNNNNNNNNNNNNNNNNNNNNNNNNNNNNNNNNNNNNNNNNNNNNNNNNNNNNNNNNNNNNNNNNNNNNNNNNNNNNNNNNNNNNNNNNNNNNNNNNNNNNNNNNNNNNNNNNNNNNNNNNNNNNNNNNNNNNNNNNNNNNNNNNNNNNNNNNNNNNNNNNNNNNNNNNNNNNNNNNNNNNNNNNNNNNNNNNNNNNNNNNNNNNNNNNNNNNNNNNNNNNNNNNNNNNNNNNNNNNNNNNNNNNNNNNNNNNNNNNNNNNNNNNNNNNNNNNNNNNNNNNNNNNNNNNNNNNNNNNNNNNNNNNNNNNNNNNNNNNNNNNNNNNNNNNNNNNNNNNNNNNNNNNNNNNNNNNNNNNNNNNNNNNNNNNNNNNNNNNNNNNNNNNNNNNNNNNNNNNNNNNNNNNNNNNNNNNNNNNNNNNNNNNNNNNNNNNNNNNNNNNNNNNNNNNNNNNNNNNNNNNNNNNNNNNNNNNNNNNNNNNNNNNNNNNNNNNNNNNNNNNNNNNNNNNNNNNNNNNNNNNNNNNNNNNNNNNNNNNNNNNNNNNNNNNNNNNNNNNNNNNNNNNNNNNNNNNNNNNNNNNNNNNNNNNNNNNNNNNNNNNNNNNNNNNNNNNNNNNNNNNNNNNNNNNNNNNNNNNNNNNNNNNNNNNNNNNNNNNNNNNNNNNNNNNNNNNNNNNNNNNNNNNNNNNNNNNNNNNNNNNNNNNNNNNNNNNNNNNNNNNNNNNNNNNNNNNNNNNNNNNNNNNNNNNNNNNNNNNNNNNNNNNNNNNNNNNNNNNNNNNNNNNNNNNNNNNNNNNNNNNNNNNNNNNNNNNNNNNNNNNNNNNNNNNNNNNNNNNNNNNNNNUAGCCUGCUAUUUUCCCUGCCUCCACAAAUGCAGCCCUCCAUCUCUGAACCUUGUCCAUAUCAUCUUUGUAUUGUAAAAAUGAAUCAGCAAAAGGGGGAUUUUGAUGGCGCACAUCUGAUGGAGUCACAUCAUAGAAAACUGGAAUCACUAUCAGCUCCAAUUCAUUUUUACACUUUAUGAUGUGUGCAAGCUCCUCUAAGCACCAUCUUGACGAUGCAUAGCUUUUUGAAAAUAUCACUAUAGCAAUUUUAGACUCUUCUAUGGCUUUUAAAAGUUCAUCAGAAAUUGAUUUUCCCGUUUCUAAUCGCUCAUCAUCUUUAAAAAUGCGGAUUCCACUUUGUUCCAAAGCCUUAUGUAGAUGACUUACAAAAGUUCUACGUGUAUCUUCUCCUCUAAAACUCAAAAAGACAUUGUACUUGCAAAUUUUGGAAGAAGAAGCAUGAGACAUUGUUGAAUAAUAUUGCUAAAGACCAACUCUCAGCUUUAGGUAUAUGGUGAGAAAGUAUAUUUAAUUUGUUCUGCUACUUGAUAAAGAGAAAUAUUUGAAGCCUAACUGACAAAAACUAUUGUGAACGCAGAAUAAUGGGUAAACUUCCAAUCAUUUUCCUAUCUGUCAUAAAAUUGAACCCUACCUUUUUCAUUAUUGUGAGAAAUUAAAGAGUGAAAAAAGGGGAGUAGACUGACCUGGUAAAAAAGAAAGGAGUUAAUCUCAUUCUAACUUUUAGAAUUUAUCGAUGAAAGUUAUUGAAUUUUAUUUAAUAUUAAUAAAAUCACUCAACUUAGGUCUUUACAUCAAUAAAAUCAUUCAACCAAAUUCAUCAUUAAAAAAAUUAACAUAGAUAAAAUAAAUUAUUUUUGUGGUAUAUUCAUAAUUAAAAUAAUAAAUAAAUAAUUCAAAAUUACUAUUACAUUAUAUAAAAUAAUAAAAGAUAAAUUUAUCAAUUUCAUUUGAUAAAUUGAUACUGCUUCAUUACUAGUACUUCAUUACGAAAUUUCAGUGACACACCUUAACUAAACUAAGGUUCUAUUACCCCUCCCUCCCACCCAAACUCAUUUUGUUUGUAAUUUUGUAUACAUUUUGGCGCAAGUGACACACUUUGUGACUCCACGUAAUUGAGGUGCGUGGAAGAUGCUUGGAUGUCACGUAAGCCAAAAAAUGUACAAAAUUACAAAAAAAUGUGUUCAGGGGUAAUAUGACCUUAGUUUAAUUAAGACGUGUCUCUGAGAUUUUAGUCAUAGUCUAGAGGUACUUUUGUCUUAUCCCUAAAACCUCCUUCUCCAAUUUUAGUCAUAGUAUUUUUAUAUGAUAUGUUUUCAUUACCCUUGUGAUAUGUUAGUUUUAUACUAUUACUCCAUAUUAAGGGCAAGUUAUAAUUCUGAAUGUAGUUUAAAUAUAACAUAUUAUCUACAUAAAGAAACCAAAAUCACAUUUUAAUUAAUUGAAGGUUACAUGUAUUUAUUCAUAUACAACAAUAAUAAUAGACCCAUUGUAAUCCCACAAAUGGGGUCUGAGGAGGGUAGUGUGUACACAGACCUUACCCCUAUCUUGAAAAGGUAGAGAGAUUGAAAAGGGGGAUUUUGAUGGCGCACAUCUGAUGGAGUCACAUCAUAGAAAACUGGAAUCACUAUCAGCUCCAAUUCAUUUUUACACUUUAUGAUGUGUGCAAGCUCCUCUAAGCACCAUCUUGACGAUGCAUAGCUUUUUGAAAAUAUCACUAUAGCAAUUUUAGACUCUUCUAUGGCUUUUAAAAGUUCAUCAGAAAUUGAUUUUCCCGUUUCUAAUCGCUCAUCAUCUUUAAAAAUGCGGAUUCCACUUUGUUCCAAAGCCUUAUGUAGAUGACUUACAAAAGUUCUACGUGUAUCUUCUCCUCUAAAACUCAAAAAGACAUUGUACUUGCAAAUUUUGGAAGAAGAAGCAUGAGACAUUGUUGAAUAAUAUUGCUAAAGACUAACUCUCAGCUUUAGGUAUAUGGUGAGAAAGCAUAUUUAAUUUGUUCUGCUACUUGAUAAAGAGGAAUAUUUGAAGCCUAACUGACAAAACUAUUGUGAGUGCAGAAUAAUGGGUAAACUUACAAUCAUUUUCCUAUCUGUCAUAAAAUUGAACCCUACCUUUUUCAUUAUUGUGAGAAAUUAAAGAGUGAAAAAAGGGGAGUAGACUGACCUGGUAAAAAAGAAAGGAGUUAAUCUCAUUCUAACUUUUAGAAUUUAUCGAUGAAAGUUAUUGAAUUUUAUUUAAUAUUAAUAAAAUCACUCAACUUAGGUCUUUACAUCAAUAAAAUCAUUCAACCAAAUUCAUCAUUAAAAAAAUUAACAUAGAUAAAAUAAAUUAUUUUUGUGGUAUAUUCAUAAUUAAAAUAAUAAAUAAAUAAUUCAAAAUUACUAUUACAUUAUAUAAAAUAAUAAAAGAUAAAUUUAUCAAUUUCAUUUGAUAAAUUGAUACUGCUUCAUUACUAGUACUUCAUUACGAAAUUUCAGUAACACACCUUAACUAAACUAAGGUUCUAUUACCCCUCCCCCCACCCAAACUCAUUUUGUUUGUAAUUUUGUAUACAUUUUGGCGUAAGUGACAUACUCUGUGACCCCACGUAAUUGAGGUGCGUGGAAGAUGCUUGGAUGUCACGUAAGCCAAAAAAUGUACAAAAUUACAAAAAAAAAUGUGUUCAGGGGUAAUAUGACCUUAGUUUAGUUAAGGCGUGUCUCUGAAAUUUUAGUCAUAGUCUAGGGAUACUUUUGUCUUAUCCUUAAAAUAAAUAAUAGAUAAAUUUAUCAAUUUCAUUUGAUAAAUUCCCACUGCUUCAUUACUACUCCAUUUGAUGGAUGAUAAUUUAAUCAAUUUCUUGUUUGUGUGAAUCUCUCGUUUCAUUUAAAAAUAAAGUGAGGUUCAUAUAUUGUCACGCCCCGAGCCUACACUCUGGGCGGGACUGGCACUCGAAAACCAUUGUUGGCCCCAAGCGAACCCUUGGCCUGGCUUACUUACUCGGCGGAAGACAAUAUUCAUACUUAAUGGUCAAUAACACUUAACUGAACUGAAUCAUAAGAUAACUGAGAAUGUUAAAAGCUAAACAUUCAACUUGGCCAAAAGUGGCAACCCAAGUCUUAACAAUAAGAAAUGAUACUGAAAAGAGUUGAAGGACUAACAUAUGACUGUCUAUGAAGCCUUUAAUAACAACUGAGAUAGAUGUUGGGACAGACCCUACAACAUCCUAAUGGACUAAACUAGAAAGCAAUGAAAUGGAUCAUCCGGAAGGCAAAGAGACUCACCAACAGACUCUAGACUGCUCACUGGAUCAACGAUGCGCCGAAAAGCCAAUUCUAUAGUUACCUGUGUCUGCAUCAUAAUACGAUGUAGGCCAACUGAUAGCAGUACAUUGAAUGUACGAGUAUGCGAGUUGGAAUGCUAAAACAACAUAGGCUAGAAAGAAUUUGAGAGAAACUGAAGAACUUACCUGGCUCAACUCAACUCAGCAUGACUAAACUCAUUUCAAUAUAAAGCAGAUUAAAAGCAAGUGCAAUAUAAAGAAAAGUUAUUUAAAAACAUGAUAUAAACUCUGUGUGUAUGCAAAGAUAUAAAUAACUCUGAGAUGUAUUAAAUAUAAUACAAUGAACUGAUGUAUAUAAAAAUAUAAUAACUUAUGUGGAAGUUUCUCUAAUCGACAACCAUCACAUAAGAGCUAUUGUGAUGAUACAACAAUCUACCUCACGCUGCAAGCGUAUCCUAUACCUGGCCAAAGGUAUAGGACCUGAACUGCCUAAUGGAUCCACUAGUCUAUUUCGAAAAGGGUUCAUCUAAAAAGUAUGACCCAUUUCUACCCAUGGUGGCUACAUGGUUUUAUGGAGACGUGAGUUAUCUGAACUCAUGUCAGCCCCCAAUUCGAUGCUCAAUACUACCAAAAUAUACCAGCUCUUAUGUUUUAAAAACAUACUUCUUCUGUGAUUUGAGAUUAGUGCUCAAAAUUUAGGUCAAAGGCUAUCUUGGAAAUCUCAAUUUCCCUGCUUGCUUCAUUUAGAAAGCUAUAACUCUUUUCUGAAAACUAGCCCGAAGGCUCUUUGAAAAUCUCAGUUUCCAUUCUUAUUUAAAUGUGAAAACAUUUUAAAUCUCGUUGGAAAUACUUAGUCCCCAUAUACUUUUGAAGAAAUGAACUUCAAACUUUACUUUUUACUCAACUUGAACUUUAAGUCUUUAAACAAAGUUAAAACAUUUGGAAAAGACUUUUGGAAGACUCUAAGAACUCAUCUUGAUUUGACUCUUACUUUUCUUGACUUUGAUCUUAACUUUCCUUGAAUUGGAUUAUGGAUUCAAGGUUCAUGAUCUCAUGUUUAUGGAUGAUUUCAUGAUGUUUGGAUGUACAUUAGAGUGUUGGAAACAACUAGAAAAUGUAGGUACAUCACUAAGGAACACGUACUAAAAGGUGGGGAACGAAUGGGGAGAACUGGCGUCCCUGGCGCUCUGAGAGGCGCGGGGCGCCAGCCCUCAAACUUCAGAGGGACUGCUGUGGCGCUCUGGCUGGCGCGGCGCCCCAAGCCCUUGCCCAGAAAACUCCGAUUUUUCUCCUUCGUUAUUCAUCUCUAAACCCUCCCAACUUUCAUGGUUCUUUCCCCAAACACUUAGGAUCAAUAGUAUCCUCAAUAUACAACAGAUUUAACUCGAAAUAUUCACCCGGAAACACAAAUCAAAUCAACAAGAGACUUCAACAACACAACCAUCAAGAACUCAACGAAUUUUCAACAAUGUUCUUCAAGAACUCACCUUCUUUGCAUUCAAACAACUUAAAUUCGCUGAAUUGAAACAAGAUUGGCGUGUGGGUGAACUAAACCAACACUAUGUGAUCUCACAUACCUUGUAAGGAUCACCCCCGACGAAAUCCAUAAGCAAAGCUCCAAGAAUCGACGAAUCUUGAAUGCUCUUCUUCUUUUCUCUUCUCUCAAAACCCUAACCCUUUUUUCCAAAAGUGUAAACUGAUCUAAUUCAGCUUAGACCCCUAAUUAAUUACCAAAAAUGAAUUAGAAUAAAAGGGUAAGGAAAAGACCAAACUACCCUUUAAAAAUCCGGAUUGGACUUUCCUCAUUUCAACAGCCCAACUUCCAAAGGGUAUAUCUCACUCAUACGAACUCGGAAUCGCACAAACUUGGCGGCGUUGAAAAGAUAGUUCCAAGAGCUUUCCAACCAUCUCUGGAAUUACACCUAACUCAACCUGAGCUAGGAGUUAUGAUCGCUUGAAGUUGACCAAAAACUCACUUUUUCCUAACUUAGCCAAAUUUCCAGAUUUUCAUUCUUUCCAAAAAUGACUAUUUCCAAUUAUUAGCUUCUUCCUAGUUAUUUCAAAUUGCGAGAUGUUACAUAUAUCAUUACGCCAACUUGGAGAAUUUUAGGUUCAAAGUUUGAUAAAUUUUAUCUUUUAUCUUGAAUUUUAUUUCUUCUUUUAGGGAUAAGGCACAAGUACCCUUUAGACUAUGAUCGAAAUCUCAGAGACAUACCUUAACUAAACUAAGGUCCUAUUAUCCCCUGAACUCUUUUUUUUUUUUUUGUAAUUUUGUACACCUUUUGGCUUACGUAGCACACUCCGUGAUUCCACACAGUUGAGGCGCGUGUGAGAUAUUUGGAUGUCACGCAAGUCAAAAAGGUAUACAAAAUUACAAAAAAAAUUGGGUUCGGGGGGGGGGGGGGAAAUAACACUUUUUUUUUUNNNNNNNNNNNNNNNAUUUCGGUCAUAGUCUAGGGGGUACUUGUACCUUAUCCCAUUUAGGAAAAGGUACAAGUACCCCCUAGGCUAUGACCGAUAUCUCAGAGAUACACCUUAACUAAAUUAAGGUCCUAUUACCCCCCUGAACCCAUUUUUUUGUAAUUUUGUACACCUUUUUAGCUUACGUGGCAUCCAAAUAUCUCCCACGCGCCUCAAUUUCUUAGAGUUACGGAGUGUGCCGCGUAAGCCAACAGGUGUACACAAUUACAAAAAAAAUGAGUUCAGGGGGUAAUAGGACCUUAGUUUAGUUAAGGUGUAUCUAUGUGAUUUCGGUCAUAGUCUAAGGGGGUAUUUGUGUCUUAUCCCUCCCAUAUUUUUUAUAAUGACAUAUUAAUUUUGAGUCAUUUAUUUAUUAUUUUAAUCAUGAAUAUCACAUUAAAAAUAAUUUAUUUUGUCAUGUUAAAUUUUUUCAAUGAUAAAUUUAGUUGAGUGAUUUUAUUUAUUAAUAGAAAGAUCUAAGUUGCGUGAUUUUAUUGAUAGAAAGUCUUAAGUUGAGUAUUGAUAUAAAACAAAAUUUAAUAAUUUUACUAAAUAAGUUUCUAAACUUGAGUAAUCUUUUGAGAUAUUACCACGUAAAGCCAAAUGAAAAGGGAAUCAAAAUAAAUUGUAGAUAAAAAUAAAGGAUUUGAGACUGGGAUACAUGUUAAGAAAGUUAUUAUAGUUAAGAAAAUGAAUAACAUCUUAAAUGGUAAUACAUGUUAAAAAAAUAUUGUAUUUAAGCAUUACAUAUUUGUAGUUAUCAACAUUUUUUCAUAGUGUCUUUAAUAAUAACCUCCAUCGUUGAAUCUUCUCCGUAGCAUCUUUAAAUUAUUGGUGCUGUUGAGAAAAUGACUUGACCAAUGGUGACCCACAUGAAUUGUUGUUUUCGAGAAAAUAACUCGACCAAUGGUGAAUCACAUGAAUUGUUAUUUUCAAGAAAAUAACUCGACCAGUGGUGACUCACAUGAAUUGUUAUUUUCAAGAAAAUGACUACCAAUGGUGACUCACAUGAAUUGUUCUUUUCUUAUAUCCACUAGGGUUAGAAUCGAUGAGAAGAAUCAUCUAGUGUUUUUAUCUUCAUUGAGUUUUGAAUCUGAAAUCUUAUGACUCUCAACUACAUCAUUAAUCACUAUGCCACACUCUUUACAGGAAACUACUUAGCAUCUUCCUAUUUCUGUGAAAAAUUAAAGUUGACUAAUUGAAGAUACAAAAAAUAUCUUAGAUAUUUAGUAUAACUUUCUAGAAUUUUGUAGAGUAAAUAUAUUUGAUAUUUGUACUUAAAAAAAUCUAGAUAGUCUAGAGUAUUAGAUAUUUAAGGGAGAUAUUUGUAGAUAUAAUUAGAAUAGUCUAAAUUCUUAGUAUGUAGAAUCAUCCCUAAACAAGUAUAAAUAGGGGUGACCUUAGUCAUUUGUAACCAACCCAAGAACAAUCCAAAUAAAAGAGUCUUCUCCCUUAAACAAGUUCUCCUUUCUAGCUUCCUCUUCUUUAGUUAAAUCUUCCGAUUUUAGUUAACGAUCUUGGGCUAGCUAGCAGAAGGUUUUCUAAUGAUAUUUUUCUUCUGCUAUUCUCUACAAUUUCAACUCAUAAAACUGUAUCCUAGGUAUUCAUUUGUCACGACCCAAAAAUGGACAUGAUGACACUCGUCCUAUCCCACCAAGAUAAGUCAGCCUAAAACUCAGCCUUUACAAAAAAAUGCAAAAAUUUAUAAUCAAGUUAAAAAUACCCCAAAACUUGAUUGUCACGUGCACAAGCCUCUAAUGUGUUAUAACAAAAUCGAAAGAAAAUACAAGUCUCAAAUGACAUUAUUUCUAGAAUAGAACAAGAUCAUAAUUAAGGAGAAAGAGGGUCUGCUGAAAUGACAAGCAACUACCUUACAAACCUCCAUAAGAAGCCUCAGACAAGGAGAAGAGAAGGUCCAGGCUAGUAACCUACAAAAAAAUGUAGAAGCAUGGGGUGAGUACCAAACCACAUGGUACUCAACAAGUAAACUUCUAAACACAAGCUAAGGGAAUAGAAUACGGGUAUUCCUUACACCCCAACCGAACCUCCACAACUACAACCUGCAUAAAAACAGCUCUACCUAACAGUUCACAAUUUACAAAGCACACAACUCAACAACAACACUCUAACAAUUUCAUGUUCUCAACAAUAGGCUCAAUAUUCAUCAAUCACAACUUCCACAGAAAGGCACUCACAAGAUCAGCAACACAGAAGAUCAAGUUCAUCAAUGAUAAAAAUAUGUGAUGCAAUGUCAAGUAUAGUGAUGCAUGUCUGACCUAACGAUACACACCCGCUGUUUCUUAAUUCGAGACCCAUGGAGGACAUAUCUGUCCAUGCAUCUAUCGCGGCGCGCGACACGUCCCUCGAUAAUAGUAUCCAUCACGACGCACGAUACGUCCCUCGAUAUAUAGUAUCCAUCGUGGCGCGCGAUACGUCCUUCUAAAUGGUACAUCCUCUUUAAUUUCUUAUUCUUUCUCAAUUCACAUAACACUUGUCACAAUCAUGUAUCAAAACAAUGCAAAUGACAUGUUCACAAUAAUGAGGAGAUGACCAUUUUCAUAACAUUGCACUAUUCACAACAACACAAUUGGGAUACAACACCAACAAUGAAUCAAUAAGCCUUUCAAACUUAUUCUCAACACAUCACACACCAACAAUUAAUCACAUUGCCUUUUAUCAUCCCCUUUUCAUCGUUAGAAUUAUUCAACAUGGACAAGUCAACCCAUCACCAAGUCCCAUUACUCCCCAACACAUACCACAAGGAAAUACAUGAAUUCCAUACACUUAACAAGGGUUUAGAAAUCCACUUGCCUCAAUUAAUCAACAAUUCACUCCAUGACUUGAGCCUUCCCUUUUCGUUGAGCUUCCAAAUCAAUGCAAUUUAUUCACAUAAAUAAUCACAAUAAGAUUUCUAACCCAACAACACCCAUAUUAUAAUAUGUCUAGCCUAGACCCAAAAACUCACCCAAAUCUAUAAUCAAGUUCCUAAGUUUCAAGCAUAGGGUUAAGUCCCAAUUUCUUUCCAAUAUCAUAAAUCUAAGGGUAUUCACAUAAUAUCAUACGCCUAACACUUAAUUACAUUAUCAAUAUAUCAAAACUUGAAUCAUAAUAUGGUAAUAAUCAUAUAUUUAUAUAAAAGAGAAUCCUAGGCCUGCCUACAUGGCGCCACCACAAGUUAGAAUUUCUUUUUAAAUUUAUUUGUUUUCAAAAAUAGCCUUCCCCUUUGAUGAAAAGAUGUGACUUUUAUGAAAUGUUGCGACUUUUAUGAAGAGUUGCGACUUUUAUGAAAAAAAUUUACUUUUAUGAAAGGUUGUGACCUUUCUGAAGGGUUGUAACUUUUCCAAAAUGUUGUGACAUUUCUGAUAAGGCACAAUAAACAUUUGUUCACACUACCCUUUGUUGUCUAUAAAUAGAGGGAUUUCCUUUCAUUUUAAGCCAACGAAAAUUCUGAACUUCUUCUUCUUCUUUUGCACAAUUUAAUAUUCGUGUACUUUGCUCAUGUUGAGUGACUCACUGACACCAAUGUUUUUGUAUCAAUACACUUGUGAAUUGAAUUAUUCCAUCCUGGGAGGAUCUAUUCCUUUAAACCUCGGGUAUUAGAGGGGAAUAAUUUCAUUAAGGGGACACUGUGCAUUCAGUGGGCUCAAUUUUUCCUUUAUGUUUCAUUCUAUUGUUAUAGAUCAUGUUAUAUUUUUUUAUAGUUAUUAAUUUAUGCUUAUAAUAUUAAUUGUUGUUUUUGAAUACAUGUUUUAAACUUUGUUAUUUAUGUUUGUGUAAAGUUAUUGUUAUAAGUAUUUUUUAGUUCAGAUAAAGAUUAUUUAAUUAUUAGAAAAUUUAAUAUCUCAUGUUGAUGUUCAUCUAAUUUCCCAAAAUUAUUAAAUAGUAACACUUUCCGGAGGCAAAAGGAUAAAUUAUAAAAUCAAAUUAAAGAUGAUUGAUUGAAGGAUACAUGAUAAGAUGUUAUAAUUAUCAUUUCCUUUACAUUAGUAAUGUUCGUUACUACAUAAUCUUGUAUGUAAGACAACAUAGUGUUUUACUUUAAAUGGCUGAUAGAUUUUAAGUAUUAUUUUAUAAAUUCUACGAUAUCAAAUUCCCGCGGGUAAUUUUACUAGUAAGAAAAUAAAAAGAAAACAGCGAAAAUUACGAAUAAUAUGGUGAGAACACUUACUGUUUCCAAACCUUUAUGUUUCUAUUUACUAAUUUAAUCAUCAUUGACUAAUCAUGUCCUAAAUCAUUACAUAAUGAUUGGCCAUCACCCUUUUUCUCCAUUAAAAAGACGGCCUAUACAGUAAUAAAUUUUCAAUUCCUCCAACUUAAAACUCAUUUAGUUGUUUCUGUUUUUUUUUUCUUUAACAAUAUAAUCAACUAUACUAAUAAUAGUAAAAUAAUAAUAUGAUAUCUAUCUAUCAUCAUUUCAUUUUCAUCAUUCAUUCUAUAUAAGUGGUGGUUUCUUCGGACAAUCAAGAUAGUCCCGUCAUUUCGCUUCCAUUCUAACCUAUUAACAAGCUCCAGCGGCUUGCCUUUUGGGUUUCACGCGUGUCCUUGCCACUAACAAUUACCAAAGGAGCUCCAUUUUUUCCUUUUCGGUUUGUUGCUGCUUUUUCUUUCCUGAAUUUGAUCAUACUCAUAGUUCCGUAUAAUAUUUUGCUACAUUUUGUAUUACAUUUUUUGAUCCAGUUGCCAUAAUUUUGGGGGAAGAUUGAUGAACCCAAGGUGUUCGGUAAUAUGCCUGGAACAACUUAAUAAUUCGGUAAGAUUCUUUGCAAUAUAUCCUGAACAAACGAAAUAUUGAUGAGUCUUGUCGCUCAUCCCUCUGAAUUAUUUUCCCUGCUUUUGCUUUUGAAGACUCCAUAUGUAGGGUUUUAUUUGAAAAUUAACCAUUUUAGUUUCAAUGUUAUUGAAAUUUGAAGAGACACUUAUGAUUUUAUUGUUCUUUCAUAUUGUUUCGAGCUCAAUUUUGAUACUCUUACCAACAUUCUAAUAGACUUUAAUUAAAUGGACAUUCUCAUGCAAAUUAGAUGCUCUCUCAACUACUUUGAAGUGUUGUAGUAUGCUUAGUUAGUAUAUGCAGGGAAGUCCUACAAUACUCAUAAAUUCUAUCAUAGUGUGGAAUGUUGUAUUAGGAGGUCAUGGUAUGAAAUUCUUGAAGAUGUUUUUCAAGAAAGACCAAUAUGAUGGUGGAUUGUAGAUAGGUAUAUGCUCAUUUUAUAUAAUAGUAAUAUGGUUUCUCAAGUCGUUCACUGCGCUACAACCUGUAUGUGUAUUCGUUCCGUCUUGAGAUAAAAACUGCAGGCUAAUUUAUGGAGACAAUAGAUUCAGUCAUUUGGGUGACCAUUACAUCAGUCGAGGCUUUUAAAGAUUAAUUACAAUUUGCUUAUUUCUAAUGUCUUGUAGGUAGCUCCUCGCCUUCGACAUAAAUUAGUAAUCUUUUAACAGAUAUGAGUUCCUCCAUUGCAUAAUUUGAGGCACAUGUACUCCACAACUAAGUUCUGCACUUCUUCAAUGUUAUUCGGGUGUCAUAAAUUCCUGAAAACAAAAUAAAACUAAAGAAGCAUGAAGGAAUUUCUAAUAUAUUGCAUUUCAACCUUAUUAGUAAGUCAAAAGGUUGCCAAAAUUGUCAUUGUUCGUUUUACAUUGAUAUAUCUUGAGUUUUCACAUCACAAUUGUAUUUUGAACUCUAUGAAUAUCAUUUGAAAUUCCUGCUUUCUCAUUCUUAAUUGAAACAUCAUAUAAAAAGGUACCAUGCUAAAUUAAAAAUGAAAAUAUAUAAAAUCAUCAUAUAAAAGCUUUAAAAUGGUAACUUUGUAUGUGAUAAAGUCAUGGUGAGACAAUUGUGCAACUUUCUAUUUGAUUUCCAAUAAGUUCCCUCCAAAUUAGUUACUCCUACUUUUACUAAUAUCUCCAUACCUUCAUAUGAACCAUGACAUUAAUGUUAUCAUUUGAGAAUGGAGUAGCUAAGGAUAUUUGGCGUGAUGUAACUCCUACGGAGUAUAGUGAAACAUUAUUGAAUGGGGAUCCAGGUAGCAAUGCUGAUUUUGCUUUGAUAUAGAAUUGUGUAUAAAAUGUUCAACGUGACAAAGUAGAAUUUAGCGGGUCGUAGCAGGUUGCUUGCUAAUAACUCAGGAAAUUAUCUAUUGUAUUCGUUUUACAAUUUAGCUUGUCAGAACAUGUUGUUUGUUUUAUUUCUCUAAGUAUGUUCUAUAACCAGUUACUUGUAGUUAUCUUUAGACAACAUGAUCGCGUAUUGAAAUUAAACUAAUCUAAUGUACCAUAUAUUGUUUUGUUUUUUUUCUUCAAAUUGGCUUGUAGGGAGUGUUGCUUCUCACUUUCUCAGCAAUGAUCGACACAUUGAGACCUCCAAAAUGCUUUGAUGGUUCAAAUGAAUGCAGAAAUGCAUCAACAUUCCAUCUUACAAUAUUAUAUGCAGCUUUAGCUCUACCAUAUUUGGAAAAUAGAGGAACACGUUUCACCAUCGGAUCAAUGAGCGAAUCAAUUCCAUAAGCCAAAUCAUCAAGCGAUUUUCUUCUAUUGGUAUACUUACGCGCUCUACACGUCCAAUGCCAUUGGUAGCACAGUUCUUUUGUAUAUUGAGGACAAUGUUAGUUGGGUACUUGGAUUCGCCAUUUGUGUCACCCUCAACAUCCUUGGGUUGGGUAUUUUCUUGUCUGGACGCUGUUUCUAUCGCCAUAUUGAGGCACAACAAGAAAGCCCUUUCGUGAGUUUUGGCUCGAGUUGUCGUUACUGCUAUUAGGAAGCAUAGAGAACCAUUGUCAUUAUGAGGUAAAUAUUAUUAUCAUGGCAUGACAAAAUGGAACAGUGCAAUAGGUGUUGAUAACCUUACAAAUCCUAGCAAAUUCUCCAGGUAUAACAACACUCUCCCUACACUACAUAAUGGUUCAAAGUAUAAAUAGCUAUUAGUAGCAGAAGAAAUGGGGAGGGCAUUACAAGGUGGGUGAGUUUUGGGUUUAGGCUAGACAUAUAGUAGCAUAAGUGUUUAUAUACUUGUUAAUUUACGAAUUAUAUAUAUACUUGAUAGAUUGGAAAGGUUCGGAGGCAUUAAGAAAAGGGAAGGCAUUGGAGAAGUAGCUUGCAUGAAGUUAGUUCUUCGGUGGAGGUAGGUUAUGGUUUAUUCUAUUUGAUAGAUAAACACUUAAUAGUGAUUGAUAUGCAUUGAGUGAUAUUGUGAAUUUCUCUAAGUACUUGGUUGUGUGGUUUGAAUAAUCUAUAUAUGUGUUGUUGUGAUUGAUCUGAAAUCCUGAGACCGUGAAAUUUAUAAUCUUGAACCUUCUCUAUCGAAGUGAUGCCUUGAAUAAAGAAGGCUUGACGAAAUAUUGUUAAUGCAAUGAAAAGUGUGAUAAUAAAUGAUAAAUUAACAAUAUUAUUGGAUCAGGGUGUCACGUUCCGACACAAUAUUAUUGGAUCGGGAUGUCACGUUCCAACACAGUAUUGUUGGAUCGGGGUGUCACGUUCCGACACGAUAACAUUAAAGAGGAAAACAUAUUGAAUUAACUGAAUGUACUCAAUCUCAAAGAACCCAUUUCCCAAACGAGCGUGGUGUGGAGGCAUGAGUCCUCGUAUGUGCUUUUGAUAUUGUGAUUGAUUACGUAAUUGCUUCGGUGUUGUUGUCACUUGUUCAUGUUGUUUGUUGCUUGUCACCUGCUAAGUGUCAUAGUUGAUUUUAUACUAUUAUUCAUUACAUAUUAGUUUCUAUUUUGAGUUGGCCGAUGAUAUCUACUCAGUACAUGUUGCCCUGUACUGAGCCCUACUUGUGUUUUUCUUUGUUUUCCUUUUAUGGAAUGCAACGAGUGUACCAGUGACUUUGACUCGCCCUUAGCUCCGGCCAAUCUCAGCAUAUCAG